GCGAGCGAAGCGGGAAGAGCUCAAAUUUAUAAUCUGGCACCUUCGGUGUCCGAGUUGUAAUCUCUAGAAGUGUUUUCCGCGUUGGACCGCACACAAGUCUGUUGGAAUACAGCGGCAUAGUGGUGAAACCCCCGUAUAUGGUGCGGACGCCCAGCGCUUUGUGAUACACUUUCAAUGAGUCGAGUUGUUUGGGAAUGCAGCUCAAAUUGGGUGGUAAAUUCCAUCUAAAGCUAAAUAUUGGCGAGAGACCGAUAGCGAACAAGUACCGUGAGGGAAAGAUGAAAAGCACUUUGGAAAGAGAGUUAACAGUACGUGAAAUUGUUGGAAGGGAAACGCUUGAAGUCAGACUUGCUUGCCGGAGCUUGCUUCGGUUUGCAGGCCAGCAUCAGUUUUCCGGGGUGGAUAAUGACGGUUUGAAGGUAGCAGUCUCGGCUGUGUUAUAGCUUUCCGUUGGAUACAUCCUGGGGGACUGAGGAACGCAGCGUGCUUUUUGCGAAAGACUCGUCUUUUUCACGCUUAGGAUGCUGGUGGAAUGGCUUUAAACGACCCGUCUUGA
rnacentral:rRNA from 1 species